AGAGUUCCUGCAGAUCAACAUCUGAUGAGGUUUCUCAGGACCAGUGAUGAAGAAAGAUAGAAGAUGCUUGCACAAUCAAGUGUGAGAAUGCAACAUAAAAACAUCACUUGAUUCUGGAUUGGUCCGGGGUGGAAAGGCAGUCUAUUCUUGAGUAUGUGGCUGCCCGAGCCAUGCAGGGAACAAGAAUACAGCUCAUCAGAACAUUGCUCAAAGGCCAUUUCCUCCUGCUAAUGAAAAAAACAAAGCUGGCUGAGACAACUGUUAUUUCCCUGACAUCUCUGACAUUUAACUUGUAACAAUGAUGUUUACUGGGCCGAGAAGUCUAAAAUUAAACCUCUCAUUUAAAUUUGAACA